rnacentral:rRNA from 1 species
GACGAACCGUGCGAACGUUAUUCGGAAUCACUGGGCUUAAAGGGCGCGUAGGCGGACUAUCAAGUCUGGGGUGAAAUCCCGCGGCUCAACCGUGGAACUGCCUCAGAUACUGACGGUCUCGAGGGAGGUAGGGGCAUGCGGAACUGUAGGUGGAGCGGUGAAAUGCGUUGAUAUCUACAGGAACUCCGGUGGCGAAAGCGGCGUGCUGGACCUCUUCUGACGCUGAGGCGCGAAAGCUAGGGGAGCAAACGGG